GAAGCUUGCUUCCCAAUCAUGUGGUUUCAGGUUCAGUUCUGCUGCAUGGCGCCUCAAGCAAGUGUCUGCUAUUAUAGCUCCUGGCUGACAAAAGCCUUGUGAGUGGAUUUGUUUGAUAGAAACUUUGAAGAAGCCCAUCAUA